rnacentral:rRNA from 2 species
GAUGAACGCUGGCGGCGCGCCUAACACAUGCAAGUCGAACGGUUAAAGCACCUUUUAGGUGUGUAUAAAGUGGCGAACGGCUGAGUAACACGUGGGCAACCUGCCCUCCUCUUGGGGAUAGCCUCGGGAAACCGAGGAUAAUACCCGAUACUUCAAUGUGGCCGCAUGACGACAUUGAGAAAGCUUUUGCGGAGAAGGAUGGGCCCGCGGCCUGUUAGCUUGUUGGUGGGGUAGAGGCCUACCAAGGCAAUGAUGGGUAGCUGGGUUGAGAGACCGACCAGCCAGAUUGGGACUGAGACACGGCCCAGACUCCUACGGGAGGCAGCAGUGGGGAACCUUGCACAAUGGGCGAAAGCCUGAUGCAGCGACGCCGCGUGCGGGAAGAAGGCCUUCGGGUUGUAAACCGCUUUCAGCAGGGACGAGGCGAAAG